ACGCGAUAUGUAGUGUGAAUUGCAGAAUUCAGUGAAUCAUCGAAUCUUUGAACGCACAUUGCGCCUCCCGGCAUCCCGGGAGGCAUGCCUGUCCGAGCGUCGUUUCAACCCUCGAGCCCACGUGGCCCGGUGUUGGGGAACCGCGAGCGCGAGCUCCGGCGGUCCCUGAAAUGCAGUGGCGGUCCCGCAGCGUCCCAGCCCUUUGCGUAGUAGCAUUCGCUCGCAUUGGCAGGCCCGCGGGUUCACCGGCCUCAAAACCCCCCUACAAAGACCGCCCCCGGCGGCACGGUUGACCUCGGAUCAGGUAGGAGUACCCGCUGAACUUAA
rnacentral:misc_RNA from 1 species